UACGGGGGGGGCAAGCGUUGUUCGGAAUUACUGGGCGUAAAGGGCUCGUAGGCGGCCAACUAAGUCAGACGUGAAAUCCCUCGGCUUAACCGGGGAACUGCGUCUGAUACUGGAUGGCUUGAGUUCGGGAGAGGGAUGCGGAAUUCCAGGUGUAGCGGUGAAAUGCGUAGAUAUCUGGAGGAACACCGGUGGCGAAAGGCGGCAUCCUGGACCGAUACUGACGCUGAGGAGCGAAAGCCAGGGGAGCAAACGGGG
rnacentral:rRNA from 1 species